ensembl:snRNA U6 U6 spliceosomal RNA
GUGCCAGCUUCGGCAGCACAUAUACUAAAAUUGGAAUGAUAUAGAGAAGAUCAACGUGUCUCCCACACAAGGAUGGCACGCAAAUUCAUGAAGCGGUCCAUAUUUUU